GGCCAGAAGGCGAGCUGAAGAUAGAAAGGCAUGGCGCGAGAUUGUGAAGGUCCUUUGCACCUCUGGGGUGUUUUAGGACAACAACAACAUUUUAUAAAACGGAAAUUUCAAACAUAUACAUGAGAAGUUCCCAAAAUUUGUUUCUAAGCGACACUUGACAUUCCAUUAACCUGAGAUUAACCGGUUAAACCGUUAACCCAGUGUCAAAUUAUACAGGUGAUGAUGAUGAUGAUGUAAUCCUGUUAUCCCUCAUUAGGGACAUAGGGUUCGCAGACAAUUUUUCCAUUUGGUGCGAUCCUGGGCGGCUACUUCCAGCUCUUCCCAGCCGAGUCCAGUUGGGCCUGGCCUCCUUCUCAACUGAUGGCCUCCAUGUGGUACGAGGCCGCCCUGACCGUCUACUGCUAGUCGAUUGCCAGCGGAGACACUGCUUGGACAAGUGGUUGUCAGGUACAUUAAAUAGUAAAUUAUACAGGUACCCAUGGAAAAUCCAGAUUUAACCGGUUAACCUCGGGUUUUUUUCGCAAUUCUGAAAAUGUUUCAAUGGCACAUCAGUAUUCUUCUUGUUAUAAUUUCAAACUAUUGUCAAUACUAUUCUUAGAUCAGAUAUGUUUUAAAUUUAAGAUGACUCACACUGGAACGGUCCCGGUCUGGGCCGUGGGCAAGUGUCGGAAGCCUCGACCUGGACCCUGGCCGUUCUAGCGUGAGUAUUUCUUUCCAAUUAAGUACUGUCUGGUUAUUAUUUGACUAAAAUUUCCUUCGAGCAACACCGGCUUCCGACACAUCGCAAAGGAGGAACCCAAGCCAUAUCUUACCGUACAAAUUGUUCUUCCAUUUUUAACGGGGCAAAACGUGCACACAGUCGCACUUCUCCCUUACUACAUACAAAAUCCAAUCUGUAAUGACGACAGAAAUACAUAGAAAAUGACACGUGUCAAAGACAAAUGUUGCACACCUCGAUCUCUAUUGUGUACGGACGAGUCACAACACGCACCGCGUUAUGCUUCGGCAGAGGGGAAAUAGUGCGAAUGCCGACUCCUAAGCCAAUUUCUGAGCGAGUUAAGAUACUGAUUAAAACAUUAUCUGGCUCAAACGCUAGUGGAUGGAAAGAAUACAAUUGCAAACUCAGAGUAGAGACAUAAGAUAAGAAAGUUGUCCUGCAGAGAAAUUGUUGGCGCAGGUUCUUCAAGUUUAAUAUCGCCACUUGUGCUUCAAGUUUUAUAUCUUUCUGAUCUUUACAGGGAAAAGGAAAUAAAUUUAUUGACGGUAAGAUUAAAUCUUAUUGGGAAAUAAGUUAUUUAAUAAAAGCUUAAGAUUUAGUUGUAUGGCUAGAGCCUAGACCGAAAGCCAAAGCACAUCCAUCCAAACCAAACCACCUAUCACCAGGAUCAAAGCAACUAUUCUGCAAUUCAGACAUGCAUUUAUUUGACGACCGGUCUGGCCUUGUGGGUAGUGACCCUGCCUAUGAAGCCAAUGGUCCCGGGUUCAAAUCCUGGUGAGGGCAUUUAUUCGUGUGAUGAGCAUGGAUAUUUGUUCCUGAGUCAUGGGUGUUUUCUAUGUAUUUAAGUAUUUAUAAAUAUUUAUAUAUUAUAUAUAUCGUUGUCUAAGUACCCUCAACACAAGCCUUAUUGAGCUUCCUGUGGGACUUAGUCAAUUUGUGUAAUAAUGUCCUAUAAUAUUUAUUUAUUAUUAUUUAUUAUUUUUAUUUAUUUUUAUUUGCGAGACAAGUUUGCUAAACUUAAGGCCUUGAAACAUGGAAAGGCCAGAGAUAUAUUGCGUUCUUUUUUUUACACACCACGGAGUGAGAACCGCUGCAUCUCACGUAAUAUAUUGCGAUGUAUUUAUAAACUUAUUUAGCGUUUUGCCGCGACUUUGUCUGCGUAAACUGAUAUAUUUCCUGUUAAAAAUUAUCCUAUGACUCCAACUAUCUCCAUAAUCUUUUUGGUUCAAGUCUAAAGAGAUAACAGACAGACAGGGUUACUUUCUCAUAUUUAUUAUACAGACUGUACUACGAGUAAGUAUAAUAUUUUUAAGUGAUCGGUGUUUAAUAUUGCAACACUGUUAAUAAACUGGCCUUGCAAAUAAUUUAGUAAGGUACAUUCAGUGGUAGAAAUUGAUAUGCGGGCGGGGUGGUCAAAUGAUCUUAAUACAACCUUACCAUCGCGAACAUAAGAGCGCGUGCAGGUAAUUGUGAAUACCUCGCCCGGUCAGGUACCUCUGCCGCUGAUUGUACGAAGAUUGAAUUUGUUGCAUUGUGUAAUUCUAUUAUUUCGCAAUUUCUCAACUAUAAUAUUUAUCUUUAUAGUUAUUGUUGGGAGUUUUAUUGAUUGUUAACUUAGUUUUAUAAGCAUCGUAUUAUUUCUGUGUUGUCAUUCCACAUUUAUCAUUUACAUAAAGCAGUCAGUUGAUUUUUACUUCAUUGCGCGUUUUCCAAAAGGCCCCGGCGGCGCUCAGUCGCGGGGGCCUUUUGCAUGUUUUCGGAUUUGGCGCGAAACAGCGUCGGGCGCCGCCACCACCACAGGGAGCGGCAGAUCGCCUCUCCUAGCCCUGUCCCGAGCACUGCUCCCACACGUCCACGUGACGACACCAACUCGCUGGUCAUCUUUAUCGAGCACCACUUGCCCCAGCCCGAACAGGUAGCGGUGGCAUGUGGCGUUGUUGCUGAAGUGUUGCAGCGGGUCGCAGAAGUGGACGCAGGGGGCCAGUAAUUGUCAGAGUUGUCCACCAAUGGGAGUAUUUUGUCACACAACGAGUUGCUCGCGUGCAUGUUGUCUAGCUUGGAUAGGUUUCGGUUCUACGUUGAGACUUUUUUAAAACAGAAGAACUGCAUGAAAGUACCACAUAUUAAAUCAUACAACUCAAAAAAUUGUCGCUGAAAGCUUUUUUUUAGAGCUUCUUCGAGACCUAAAAAGGAUUGCGUGAUAAGGAGCUUCGUAUACAAAUAAACAAUCAGUAUUUCACUUCCAUAAAAACUUAACAUUCUGAACAGGUUAAAAGUUUGUUAUUAAACAGCUAACAAAUAUGAAAUUUAACACCACAGUUACGUAACACUAACACCUACAGGUGGUCACUAAAUCGUAAUUUGUAGUGACUAUCGAACUGAACUGUUAACUAUAACUAUAACUGUCACACUAAAGCUUAUACCUAAUUAAUUAAGGAUUAUUAUUUGACGUAUGUGGCAAUACACCUGGCAGCUGUUAUAACCUCUCGGUUGGAUCCCGGCCGCCGCGCAGACCGUAGCCGUCGGUGUAAUAGAGCUGUGCCGCACGUGUAUCACCCGCGCGACCCACGGGUACGCGCUCUCUUGGACCAGAGUGGCCCCUCUUUGCUCCAUUCCUGGCAUCGGGCAGAAAUCUGGAAGAGAUUAACAAAUAACAACUCUCGAUCUCGUAAGUCGUUGGUCUCUUGUUAUUGACGUCGUACGCCGCAUAGAGAUCUAUAGAAAUCUUUGCAGGUUUUAUAAAAUAUUUUCGAAAAAUGUGCCUUUUAAAACCAAACAUGUUCGCUUAACUUAGUUGUUGGUAGUCAAGUGUUCUUAGCAACCGACAGUUAUUUCCUGCGUGAGCCAGUCACAUUUGAAGAGAACAGAUCCAGACCGAAGCGUUGAACUGUAGUUUCUGUAUGCUCGUGUCGGCAGCUCGCGGGGCCUGUGAAGGGCGAUACUUACAACUGGUUCGUUACGAGUGUUGUCUAUACUUAGUGUUUCGGCCGUUGGUCGCCCUCCGCUUGCCGCCGCGGAUGCGAGGAAGGCCCAAGGAAGCUUGUCUGUGAUCUUUCAUUUACUUCGAACUUAUUUUGGAAUCGGCAGACGUUUACGUUAGAUAAUAACGUAAGAAAAAUCUGUAGGAAUCAGCAAUGUGAGUCUCAAAAGCCUUAUUGAGCUUACUGUGGGACUUAGUCAAUUUGUGUAAUAAUGUCCUAUAAUAUAAAAAAAAUAUAUAUAUAUCUUCUAAAAAAUGUUUUAUCCUUAAAGUACAUUUCUAUAUGUCGUUGGUAUUAAUUAUGGUGAAGAAAUUAAACUCUGAUUUUCUUAUAAUAUUGUUAAUCUUGCGAAAAUUGAAUUACGAAAUGUACUCGAAUACGAAAAUGAAGUGUUGGCCGCUCCGGUCCGGCCCCAGCCCGGUCUAGCGUGAGUCAUCCUUCAACGGGUUCUACUGUAGGUAGUUGUAAACUUUAUUGACAGUAGACUGAAUAUUGCACAACUGGAUUGCUCUAUACCUUGCACAUGGGCAUGUUUAUUGCAAAAGAUGAUUUCCUACAAUCGAUUGUAAGUCAACAUUUUCCAUAAUAAAACUGUAUUACUUUACGAAGUGCAUUUUAAAAUUAUCUUAUUUUACUAAUAUGUGGUUUCCUAAUAUUGUCACAAAAUUAUAAGGGCUAAAUAGCUUCGGACACUAAAACUGAAAAUGUAAAUUUUGAUUGCUCUAUAUCUUGUAAUGUAAAUUAUGAAAUAUAAAUAAGCACAAACACAACUGUUUAUUAUUGGGUUUUGCAAUAAAAAAAUAUGUGUACA